rnacentral:rRNA from 1 species
AUUGAACGCUGGCGGCAGGCUUAACACAUGCAAGUCGAGCGAGCGGCGGACGGGUGAGUAAUGUCUGGGAAACUGCCUGAUGGAGGGGGAUAACUACUGGAAACGGUAGCUAAUCCCGCAUACCAUCAGAUGUGCCCAGAUGGGAUUAGCUAGUGGGUGGGGUAAUGGCUCACCUAGGCGACGAGCCCUAGCUGGUCUGAGAGGAUGACCAGCCACACUGGAACGGAGAGACUGCCCAGACUCCUACGGGAGGCAGCAGUGGGGAAUAGUGCACAAGGGGCGCAAGGCUGAUGCAGCCAUGCCGCGUGUGUGAAGAAGGCCUUCGGGUUGUAAAGCACUUUCAGCGAGGAGGCGUUACUCGCAGAAGAAGCACCGGCUAACUCCGUGCCAGCAGCCGCGGUAAUAC